ACGAACGCUGGCGGCGUGCCUAAUACAUGCAAGUCGAGCGAGUGGUUUUAACAGAAUACCUUCGGGUAGGAAGAUAAAAGCGCGAGCGGCGGAUGGGUGAGUAACACGUGGGUAACCUACCCUAUAGACUGGGAUACCAUUUGGAAACAGAUGCUAAUACCGAAUAAGAGCGAGAAGCGCAUGCUUCAAGUUUAAAAGGCGGCUUUCGAGCUGUCACUAAAGGAUGGACCUGCGGUGCAUUAGCUAGUUGGUAAGGUAACGGCUUACCAAGGCAAUGAUGCAUAGCCGAGUUGAGAGACUGAACGGCCACAUUGGGACUGAGACACGGCCCAAACUCCUACGGGAGGCAGCAGUAGGGAAUCUUCCACAAUGGACGCAAGUCUGAUGGAGCAACGCCGCGUGAGUGAAGAAGGUUUUCGGAUCGUAAAGCUCUGUUGUUGGUGAAGAAGGACAGUAAGAGUAACUGCUUAUUGUUUGACGGUAAUCAACCAGAAAGUCACGGCUAACUACGUGC
rnacentral:rRNA from 1 species